rnacentral:rRNA from 1 species
AUUGAACGCUGGCGGCAGGCCUAACACAUGCAAGUCGAACGGUGACAGGAAGAAGCUUGCUUCUUUGCUGACGAGUGGCGGACGGGUGAGUAAUGUCUGGGAAACUGCCUGAUGGAGGGGGAUAACUACUGGAAACGGUAGCUAAUACCGCAUAACGUCGCAAGACCAAAGAGGGGGACCUUCGGGCCUCUUGCCAUCGGAUGUGCCCAGAUGGGAUUAGCUAGUUGGUGGGGUAACGGCUCACCAAGGCGACGGUCCCUAGCUGGUCUGAGAGGAUGACCAGCCACACUGGAACUGAGACACGGUCCAGGCUCCUACGGGAGGCAGCAGUGGGGAAUAUUGCACAAUGGGCGCAAGCCUGAUGCAGCCAUGCCGCGUGUAUGAAGAAGGCCUUCGGGUUGUAAAGUACUUUCAGCGGGGAGGAAGGGAGUAAAGUUAAUACCUUUGCUCAUUGACGUUACCCGCAGAAGAAGCACCGGCUAACUCCGUGCCAGCCGCCGCAGUAA